AGGGUUCGACGUAUGCAGGGACGUCGACUUGUUGCAGGUUCUGCCUUACAAACGGAAAUCUUUGCUUGUCAUUUGGCUUUAGUUUGGGCUACCAGUCAGGGGCUCCGUAGUCUCCUGAUCCUAACUGACUCCGCCACUCUCAUUCAUCUUCUUAACUCCCAAGGCCCCAAGGAUAUCUCAGUCACCCAUCUACUCCGAGAGAUUAAGGGAAUGGGUGGGGGAUUGGAGUGGUGUCGCCUCCUCAAAGUCAACAGGCAAGCAGUCACCCAAGCCCAUGACUUGGCUAGAUCCUGUCAGGAGUCAGGAGUCCAUUUUGAUUAUUUGUAGUUUCCUUUUCGUAUAUUUUUUGGAUGUCAAAAAAAAAAAAAAACAAUAAUUUUCUCUCUCCUUCGAUUUUAUACCCCGUACUGUGCAUGUUCAAUUUCUGCAUUUUUGAGUCGAAAUUUUCCCAAAAUUAUUGCAUAAAAGUUGUAGAUCUCGAAAAGUUAUUGAACUUAGACCCAAAAAUCACUUGAUUCGGAGUUCGUAGCUAUGAGUUAUGGUCUUUGCAAGUUUGGUGUUCCUACCUUCAUUUCUCUCUCCUCUGUUUUUAUUCCGACAAUCUGUUGCAUCAAUUAUCUACAAAAUGAAAUCCAAUUUUUCUCUUUGUUUCUGAAUCAAAGUUGUAGAUCACUUCGAGAUAAUGAAUUUGGGCACAAAAAUCACUUGAUUUGGAGUUCGGAGCUAUGAGUUAUGGUCUUUGUAAGUUUGGUGUUGCUACCUUCAUUUCUGUCCUCUGUUUUUAUUCCGACAAUUUGUUGCCUCAAUUAUCUACAACAUGAAAUCCAAUUUUUCUCUUUGUUGCUAAAUCAAAGUUGUAGAUCACUUUGAGCUAAUGAAUUUGGGCACAAAAAUCGCUCAAUUCGGAGUUCGGAGCUAUGAGUUACGCCUUACACAAGUUCAGCACUGCUGAUGUACUUUGUGUUGCGCUGCUGCCGUGGUUGGCUUUGUUUGCUCAUGUUGUCACUGCUAACUUGUUUGCCUUGUUGCUGCCAUUAUUUUGGUAUUCCUUUUCAUAUGAAGGUCGUUGUUGGAGUAUGUCUAUGGAGAUAAUUUAUGAAGUUCGAGCUAUAGUUGGUUAUCCAGAAUGUCGAAUUAUUGGGAAUUGUUUCAAGGGUUCAUUGUUAGUGAUUUUGCAGGGUUGAUGUCGAGGACUUGGAAUAUGAUUAUUGAUCAAGAAGAAGAUUUUAUGUUAUGAAAUGGUGGGCUGAGGUUAAAGUUA